rnacentral:tRNA from 1 species
GAUGGAAUGGCCGAUUAUAGGCGAUAAAUUGUAAAUUUAUUUAUGAAACUUUCAUUUCUUCCAUCA